GGGGGGGGGGGGGGGGGGGCGGGGGGCGGGGGGGGGGGACGGGGGGGGGCAGGCUGGCUUGGGGACGCGGGGGGCGGCCGGGUGAUGAGCCCGUGGGUGAUCUGCCCUGCCCUUCGGGCGGAGCCUGGGCCACUGGGUCUAAUACCGGAUAGGACCACAGUUUGGAUGGUGUGGUGGCAGGCUUUCCGGGUGGGGAUGACCCCGCGGCCUAUCGGCUUGUUGGGGGGGUAAUGGCCUCCAAAGGCGUGGACGGGGAGCCGGCAUGGGAGGGUGUACGGCCGAAUUGGGACUGAGAGACGGCCCAGACGCCUACGGGAGGCAGCAGUGGGGAAUAGUGCACGAUGGGCGCAAGCCUGAUGCAGCGACGCCGCGUGGGGGAUGACGGCCUUCGGGUUGUAAACUCCUUUCGCUAGGGACGAAGCGUUAUGUGACGGUACCUGGAGAAGAAGCACCGGCUAACUACGUG
rnacentral:rRNA from 1 species